GACGUUACUCGCAGAAUAAGCACCGGCUAACUCUGUGCCAGCAGCCGCGGUAAUACAGAGGGUGCGAGCGUUAAUCGGAUAUUACUGGGCGUAAAGCGUACGUAGGCGGCUUUUUAAGUCGGAUGUGAAAUCACCUGAGCUCUAACUUAGGAAUUGCAUUCGAUACUGGGAAGCUAGAGUAUGGGAGAGGAUGGUAGAAUUACCAGGUGUAGCGGUGAAAUGCGUAGAGAUCUGGAGGAAUACCGAUGGCGAAGGCAGCCAUCUGGCCUAAUACUGACGCUGAGGUACGAAAGCAUGGGGAGCAAACAGGAUUAGAUACCCUGGUAGUCCAUGCCGUAAACGAUGUCUACUAGCCGUUGGGGCCUUUGAGGCUUUAGUGGCGCAGCUAACGCGAUAAGUAGACCGCCUGGGGAGUACGGUCGCAAGACUAAAACUCAAAUGAAUNGACGGGGGCCCGCACAAGCGGUGGAGCAUGUGGU
rnacentral:rRNA from 1 species